UGCUAAUUCAUAUAAAUUUAUUGGGAGGCAUAUUUUAAUUGUAAAUCAGCCAUUUCAUACAACGUCAGACAAAAAACACUUAAUAGUGUCAUCAUAAUUUAUUAUGAGUUAAUAUGUCUGUCCUGUAGUAAUUUUGUUUUCAGAUGGGCUGCACCAGAAAGACUGUUGUCUGACCAAGGUCGUGAAUUUGUUUCGCAAGUCAAUGCAGAGUUGUUUAAAGAAUUUAGCAUUAAACAUUCGAUAACCAGUGCCACCACCCACAAACAAAUGGUUUAGAUGAACGAACCAACAAGACAUUAAAGACAAGAUUGGGGAAAUUUAAGAUGAGGUGGCAUUUUCGAUGAGAAUUCAGAAACAGGUAUCAACCAAAUUUACAUCAUUUUUCCUCAUGUUCGGACGACACCCAAGAACUCCUCAACAGAUAAUAGAUAACACUGAUAUACCUGAAAUAGACAUUGAUGAUAUAGUGGCCAGCAGAGAGGGAAACCAAAAUGUUAUACAUGAACAGGUACUAAAUAAUAUCAGUGUGGCUCAUAACAAGCAGAAAGCUAAAUUUGAAAAGAGAAAGGGGAACAAUGUAAAGGUCUUUCAGCUUUCUGAAAGGGAUAUUGUUUUAAGAAAAGAAACCAAAAAUAUAGGCAGAAAAGGAGAGGAGAUGGAUGCGAAAUGAAAAGGCCCCUACAGAAUAAUUUCCAUCGACUCUGCACAACGUAUGGAAUUGGAGACCAUCACAAACCCAGUUACUAAAUUAAAGUAUAAAGUGCCCUAUGGCCAGUUGAAACCAUAUAGAUCAAAUGAAGUACCUUUAAUAAACUUUUUUAGAUAUUCAGACACCUUCUAAGAGUGGAAAUAAUAAUAUUGAGAAAGAAGCAUGGAAUGUUUUAGAUAAUCAGAGACCUACUACAAGUGGUAUAAAUGUCCAGAAAGAAAAUGGGAAUGGUAUUAAAAUUCAGGAAUUAUUGCAUCGACUCUUGGACAGUGCUACAGCCGAAUCUGUGAUGAAAGGAAAUUACAAGGCGGAUGAGGAGGACAUCGAAGUUCAGCCAGAAUAUACACAGAACAAACAACUAAUGUUGGAUAAUUCUUUAAUGUCAUCUUGUGAACAGUUCUUCACGGAAUAUGGGUGGUUUGCUGUUCAGUCUGUGGCAAAAGCCAUUAAACAGAUUAUAACCAAAGGAGAAAUCAAGUAACAAAGAAGGAAACCAAUCUUCUCUGAAUAUAUCAUAAUUACCAGAUGGAGUAUUGUGUGAAAUUUUCCAAUGUUGUUUUAACUUGUGGUGACGAAGCAUAUCUAAGAUUGUUAUUAUUCAACAGAAGAUUUGCAGAAGUGAUUAACAGACAAUCUUUUAAAUCUACCUGUCAUUUCGCCUGGCUACGCAGUAUUAAACCAAUUAGUUAUCAGAAAGGUUACCAAAAUAAAGAAUUUUAUGUGCCAUUUAAACUAAAGAAAUGUGGGUUUUGUGAAAUGCUAUAUAAAGAAGAGCGUCCAGGAUACUGGGGUGAGAGGGGUAAAUAUGGGGAUUAUAUAAGCUUUGUUAAUGAAAUGGGUUUCACUGGUUACUGCAGCUACCACUGUCGAAGAAUGCAGGAGCCAGAAUGGCAUGACAAGUGGGAGUGAAUAGCAAUGUUAAUAGAUGAAUGUAUAUAAUGUUAAUAGUUUGUAUUUUUAUUAUUGGUCAAUAUUUUUUUUCUUACAUAACUUUUUUUAUUGUAUUUGUUCUUUGCUUGUAAAAAUUUAUUUGUUUAUUGUGCUGAUGUAUUACAUGGUUCAAUGAGGACAAUCACUGAAAGGCCUUAGGUAUGAUCUAUACUAGGGUCCCAAAACUUUACUCAACUUUAUUCACAUUGUAUGUUUUAAUCUUAUAUCUAUCUGUUUUGUCAAUUUUUUUUAAUAAUCUGUUAUGUUUUUUAUAAAGUGUCAUUGGACACUUUUGUGGAAAUGCCACUAUAUAAAUGCUUGUUAAUAAUAUUAAUAAACCCCAAAAAUCAUUUGCAAAGAUUUAUUUUUCAUAUUUAGUCUAAGCGAUUAUAAUGUAUUCAUAACCUUUUGUUUAUAUUUUGUUACAUACUUUCUUAAAUAUCAUCCACUAUUUAUGUACUGUAUGCUUUCGUAUAGGGUGUUUUAUGUAAUUAAAGAUACAUUAUGUAAGGUUUAGAUAAAGAGCUGACCAUUCUUGCCAUAAUAGCUCAAAAAAAGAUAAUGUAAAAUGAAUAAUUUGAACAUUUCAUUCAAAUUACUCUAUUUCGAGCAAAGAGAUAUUAGCCUUUGAAGGUGCAAUAAUUGCAACCACCGUCCUGGUUGUUGAAGUUAAGUCUCGCUUCUCCAUUUUCAAAUUGAAUCAAAAUAUGGCUAAACCGUUCUAAUUUGUUUAAUAACAAAGAAAUCUGAUGCAAUAAAGAGUUGAUUAUGGCCUGGAUUUUGUCUGAAUUUAUAAUUGUGGGCUAAAGAAAGACCCACAACAGGCAGAUUUAGCUUUUGCAUAAUGCAUGUUUAAAAUCUGUCUAUAAAAUUAUCCAUACUGGAUCAAACCAGGAUGUAGCUUGGCGUUUGACUCAUUGAUAUUGAGUCACAAAUAAGUAACGAAAGGGAUCACUUAAUUUCCAGUGGUGUAAUAUCUUUUUUGUUAAAAAUGUAUAAAUCACUUUUCUGUUAAAAAUGCAUAAAUCACCUUUUUGUUAAAAAUUUAUCAAUCAUUUUUUUGUUAAAAAUUUAUAAAUCACUUUUUGAUGUUUUAACUAUGUUUUAAUAAUCAACUAUUUUGCAGACUGAAUAUUUGGCUUUUCAGAUUGGGAUUUCUCUGUAUCAUUUUUAUUUUAAUUUUGUACUUCCUAUUAAAAUGUU